rnacentral:rRNA from 1 species
CACGAACGCUGGCGGCAGGCUUAACACACGCAAGUCGAGCGCCCCGCAAGGGGAGCGGCAGACGGUGAGUAACGCGUGGGAAUCUACCCAUCUCUACGGAAUAACGCAUGGAAACGUGUGCUAAUACCGUAUACGUCCUUCGGGAGAAAGAUUUAUCGGAGAUGGAUGAGCCCGCGUUGGAUUAGCUAGUUGGUGGGGUAAAGGCCUACCAAGGCGACGAUCCAUAGCUGGUCUGAGAGGAUGAUCAGCCACACUGGGACUGAGACACGGCCCAGACUCCUACGGGAGGCAGCAGUGGGGAAUAUUGGAAAAUGGGCGCAAGCCUGAUCCAGCCAUGCCGCGUGAGUGAUGAAGGCCCUAGGGUUGUAAAGCUCUUUCACCGGUGAAGAUAAUGACGGUAACCGGAGAAGAAGCCCCGGCUAACUUCGUGCCAGCCGCCGCAGUAACAC